UUACAAAGCACACCUCCUUUA
rnacentral:miRNA from 1 species